AGUUUGACUGGGGCGGUCGCCUCCUAAAGUGUAACGGAGGCGCCCAAAGGUUCCUUCAGAAUGGUUGGAAAUCAUUCGUAGAGUGCAAAGGCAUAAGGGAGCUUGACUGCGAGACCUACAAGUCGAGCAGGGACGAAAGUCGGGCUUAGUGAUCCGGUGGUUCCGCAUGGAAGGGCCAUCGCUCAACGAAUAAAAGCUACCCCGGGGAUAACAGGCUUAUCUCCCCCAAGAGUCCACAUCGACGGGGAGGUUUGGCACCUCGAUGUCGGCUCAUCGCAUCCUGGGGCUGUAGUCGGUCCCAAGGGUUGGGCUGUUCGCCCAUUAAAGCGGUACGCGAGCUGGGUUUAGAACGUCGUGAGACAGUUCGGUCCCUAUCCGUCGUGGGCGUAGGAAAUUUGAGAGGAGCUGUCCUUAGUACGAGAGGACCGGGAUGGACGCACCGCUGGUGUACCAGUUGUUCUGCCAAGGGCAUAGCUGGGUAGCUAUGUGCGGAAGGGAUAAGUG
rnacentral:rRNA from 1 species